GACUACCGGGGUAUCUAAUCCCGUUCGCUCCCCCAGCUUUCGUGCCUCAGCGUCAGAAGAGACCCAGUGAGCCGCUUUCGCCACAGGUGUUCCUUGUAAUAUCAACGCAUUUCACCGCUCCACCACAAGUUCCGCUCACCUCUGUCUCCCUCUAGCCCUGCAGUAUUGGGCGCAAUUCCUCGGUUGAGCCGAGGGAUUUCACACCCAACUUACAGGGCCGCCUACGCACCCUUUAAGCCCAGUAAUUCCGAAUAACGUUUGGACGGUUCGUCUUACCGCGGCUGCUGGCACGAACUUAGCCCGUCCUUCCUCUGAAGAUAGGUCAACACAUGGAGAGAACCCCAUGUGAUUUCCUCCCAACUGACAGCGGUUUACAACCCGAAGGCCUUCAUCCCGCACGCGGCGUCGCUCGGUCAGACUUUCGUCCAUUGCCGAAGAUUCUCGACUGCAGCCCCCCGUAGG
rnacentral:rRNA from 1 species